rnacentral:rRNA from 1 species
UACGUAGGGUGCGAGCGUUUGUCCGGAAUUAUUGGGCGUAAAGAGCUCGUAGGCGGUUCAUUGCGUCGACUGUGAAAUCCCAAGGCUCAACCUUGGGUCUGCAGUCGAUACGGGUGGACUAGAGUUCGGUAGGGGAGACUGGAAUUUCUGGUGUAGCGGUGGAAUGCGCAGAUAUCAGAAGGAACACCGGUGGCGAAGGCGAGUCUCUGGGCCGAUACUGACGCUGAGGAGCGAAAGCGUGGGGAGCAAACAGG